GACGCCGCCGAGCGACCCGGGAGUCGGCUUGCAGUUUAUGCGAAUUGAUCCCGUUAAAAGUGUAAUUGGUGCUGCCAAGUCCUUGCCCACUCCCAGUGGCCCAGUGCACAACAGAAGGAAACACUGUCCGCCCAGUGCACAACAGAAGGAAACACUGUCCGUCGCGCGUCAUUCUCACAACUUCCCUGUUCCAGCCCAUUGUUGCAGCCACUGUGUUAGUCCUAAACUUUAAACAAUGAUUUGUAUGAUUGAUCCCAAACCAAACUCAAUGCUGACUCACAGGAAACGCCCCCCAUUUACCCCCAACCACCCACCACCCACUCCCGCCCGUGGGUUGACUAACUAUAUAGAAAGCUUUCUUCCUCAGCUAGCUACUGUUGGUUUCAAACUGCCAGUCAUGUGAUUCGCAGCCCAACAAAUAACCACUACACCACUGUAUAUUUAUUAAACUUGUUUAAAUAGUCAAACAUUGUGAAUCAAAGGAAAACAAUCCAGCCCCCCUACAUUUAAAAAAAAAGUGGAAAAACAUGAGCCCUUGUCUUAAUUUCAAGGUAGCCAUUUAUUGUGGUUUUUGACAACAACCAAAAAAUAAGAACAUUUUUUAACCAAGCUUGAUAAAAUUUAAAGGAAACUGAUACAAUUAUCUGGUUUUGCUGGAAUCAGUAAAUUAAAACGUGGACACAGAGCAAUAAAAUCAAAGGCAUUAAACAUU